AUUGAACGCUGGCGGUAUGCCUAACACAUGCAAGUCGAACGGCAGCACAAUAAGAGCUUGCUCUUACGGGUGGCGAGUGGCGGACGUGUGAGGAAUACAUCGGAAUCUACUUUUUCGUGGGGUAUAACGUAGGGAAAUUUACUCUAAUACCACAUACGCCCAGCGUGUUAAAGCAGGGGAGCUUCGGAUCUUGCUCUAUUGAAGGAGCCGAUGUCGGAUUAUCUAGUUGGCGGGGUAAAGGCCCACCAAGGCGACGAUCAGUAGCUGGUCUGAGAGGAUGAUCAGCCACACUGGAACUGAGACACGGUCCAGACUCCUACGGGAGGCAGCAGUGGGGAAUAUUGGACAAUGGGCGCAAGCCUGAUCCAGCCAUACCGCGUGGGUGAAGAAGGCCUUCGGGUUGUAAAGCACUUUUGUUGGGAAAGAAAAGCAGCAGGUUAAUACCCCGCUGUUCUGACGGUACCGAAAGAAUAAGCACCGGCUAACUUCGUG
rnacentral:rRNA from 1 species